AUUAUAACACAGCUAACACUCCCAUUCAUUACAUCAGAAAUCCUCCCCUCUCCCUGUGAUACAAUUAUCUCAACACAAUAGACUAAUUUAAUUAUCACAGGCAGUAAAAUACAGUAUUAUAAAACAUAUCACAGGGACCCCCACAUGCAAUAACCCCAUAAAAAAUAUAAAAAAUAUAUCCUCAGAACCAGGGGAUCUGGGUGAACCACAUAUCCAAAAUUCACCCAGAUCCGUUCAGUAGUUUGGAAGAUACGGUUUAAUGCAGAUUCCGCAGAACAUAUACAGGUUAUAUGAAAAAUAAUUACUGUUAAAUGUGUCCCCCGUUCUAUAGUUUAAAACUACUGCACAAUGUCUUUUGCACCAAAUACCGGCGAGAUGGCACCGUGUAGAAAAGUCCAAACAGUGUCUGUGAGUUAAAAUGGCCGCCAUCCAUUAUUCUCACCAUGUGCUUCAUCCAUUGUUCUCACCAUGUGCCUCUGAUACAUGAAAUGGUGGCCACCCAGUAACUCCACAGUAUGUCCCCAGAUGGUUCUUAAAG